rnacentral:pre_miRNA from 1 species
AACCCUCUGUUUCCGUGAUGAGAUUUCGUCACACACUAGACCACAAGGACUGAUGAUUAUUCCAAGAUAAGUGAGACA